rnacentral:rRNA from 1 species
UACGAAGGGGGCUAGCGUUGUUCGGAUUUACUGGGCGUAAAGCGCACGUAGGCGGCUUUGUAAGUUAGAGGUGAAAGCCUGGGGCUCAACUCCAGAACUGCCUUUAAAACUGCAUCGCUUGAAUCCAGGAGAGGUGAGUGGAAUUCCGAGUGUAGAGGUGAAAUUCGUAGAUAUUCGCAAGAACACCAGUGGCGAAGGCGGCUCACUGGCCCGGUACUGACGUUGAGGUGCGAAAGCGUGGGGAGCAAACAGG